rnacentral:ncRNA from 1 species
UAAUUUGUGUUGAAGGAACGAAGUAGUCGAGUAAAUCCCUAUUCUAGAGAACCGGCGGGUGGUGAAAGCCGGGAUAUAUUUACUGACGAAUUACAUUCCGGAGCAAUUUCGAUCGUUUUGAGCGUUCGGAACGGUGGCAACAUCGUUAACAAUCCGAAGUGGCAGAUUUUAAAUUUGCAACAAGGGUGGUACCGCGUGUUAAACUCGUCCCUUUU